GCAAAUCUGACAUGAAGUAAAAUUGAUUAUCAGGUCAAAAUCUAUCUGCCCUGAAAUUUACAGAUGAAUCGGACAACCUGUUGUUGGGUUGCUGCCCCUGAAUUGGUAAUUUUAAGGAAAUUUUGCUGUUUUUGGUUAUUAUCUUGAAUAUUAUUAUAGAUAGAGAUAAACUGUAAACAGCAAUAAUGUUCAGCAAAGUAAGAUUUACAAAUAAGUGAACAUGACUGAAAUGGUCAGUUGACCGCUUUAGGAGUUAUUGCCCUUGAUAGUAAAUUUUUAACCAUUUUUCGUAAAUCUUAGUAAUCUAUUACAAAAAUCUUCUCCUCUGAAACCACUGGGCCAAAUUAAACCAAACUUGGCCACAAUCAUCAUUGGUGUAUCUAGUUUAAAAAAUGUGUGGCUUGACCUGGCCAACCAACCAAGAUGGCCGCCACAGCUAAAAAUAGAACAUAGGGGCAAAAUUCAGUUUUUGGCUUAUAACUCAAAAACCAAAGCAUUUAGAGCAAAUCUGACAGCAGUAAAAUUGAUUAUCAGGUCAAGAUCUAUCUGCCCUGAAAUUUUCAGAUGAAUCGGAC
rnacentral:lncRNA from 1 species